AUGCUGACUUCAGCUCCCAUCAUCUCAAUUUUCUUGGAACUGGAAGACUUUGUGCGUUAAAGUUCUAGGAUCCUGAAGAAGGGCUUCUCUCAUAUCCAGCAAAAAGGAGGCUAGUGAUUGUUUUUUGACAUCUAAGCCCUAUAUUGCAGUGAACCCUCUGAACAAUUCAUGAGAUACAUAUUAGGCUUUUAGUAAGAAGGGAAUAAGGUCUUAGGGGUGAGAAGAAAAUAAAAGUCAAGUAGUUCCCUUAACAUCCCUGGGAGCAGUGAGAGCUGUGGCAGAAGAAAUGAGAAUGCAAGUGAAGAGCUGGAUGAAUAUGGACAUAUUCCUAAUGAGAAUUCUCCACAUAUUUCUGAGAAAACUUCAAAUAAUUUAAGUACAGCAGCUGGAGUAGAAUCAAAGUGGAGAAGCUACGUAUGUAUUUCCAACCAAAGCCAACAUAAAGGCGAAUGCGGACCACCCAGCAGCCUAACGGACCAUACUCCACCCAAAACGUUUACGUAUUACCACAAGCCUGGCUGAUAAACCAGAAAGCUAAGUGAGACACCUGAAGGGUUAAGUCCUGAAGAAUAGCAAAAGAAUAUUGUCACACACGUUUCAACUUCAGCUCCCCAUUAAUUUAUAAAUAUGAAAAUGCCUUUUUUGUUAUUCUCUGUGGGAAAAUCCUUGCUACAGUUCUUGCUAGAGCUCUUGUCGGCCCUAGUCUGGAACCCCAUAUGUAAGAUGCAUUUUUAAUAACCUCUUUUAUUUUUUAUGGAGAUCCCUUCUUCACUUUUCAGUCUUAGCUUUUGCCUCAGUGUAGGUGGUAUUACAUUUCUGUCAACAUUCAGACGAUAGGAGGACAGGGUUUUGACUGGAGAUUUACUGUGCAAAGCUCAGAAGAUAACCUUAGUAAUUGAGUUACACAUAACAGUAACCUAUAUGAUCCAAUUAUAGUCUUGACCUCCCAGAUUCCUUUGCACUAAAGUGAAAAACUCAUAACCAUUACAUUCGAAAAUGUCAUGUUGCAGGAAUGUUUAAAAGAGAUAUUAGAGGAGAAAUUAACACAAUACAGGAAGUAGCAAUAGAACUUUACUCCAAGGAAAUCCAGGAAAUUUCCUUUUUGACAUGAAGAAUGAUGGGGGAGACAGGACAAUUGGGAAGGGAGCUGUUUCAUUCUAAUUCAUUAAUUAGAAGAAGAGAAAAAAGAGGGUAGAUGAUACUCCAGCCCUGACUAGAGGAACAAAAAUGUACCCUCCCACCACCAGUUCAUAGCAUUGCUGAAAAUUAUUUAGUACAGUGAGGUACUUGAAAAACUUGGAUUUAACCUGUAACCCACAAAAAUUAGGCUUCAAUAUUUUUUAAACAGAUUUCUUCUCCUGUUUAGACACAUUUUCAUAUCUUAAGAAAUUGCCUAUGUACACUUGUCACCAAAACAUCUAAAUUGAGAAAGCUGAGUUGAAUUAUUAAAAAGUAUAUACCGGGGCCAGCGCCAUGGCACAGUAGGUUAAUCCUCCAC
rnacentral:lncRNA from 1 species